CAGGCAUUCAAAGUAUGCAUCAGUGUGGAAGAUAAUUUCAAGGACAUUUUGGUAAAAGGAUUCCCACCUUGGCAGGCUUGUAAGGAAAGAGUGCAAAGACAGUUUUGCAGAACCUGAGAUCUAGUAUGAGGAGAAGAGAGUUAAGAAGAGACUGGUACUUCUGUAAUGCUUGGUGUCACAAUAUGUUUGACAGGUUACUACCUGUCAAAACAUAUUUUGUUUAAUUCUCGUAUACCUACCUUUAACUGAGUUAUCAUAUUUUGUUAUGCAUGACAAGUUUGAUUAAUCAUUGAACUGAGAAAUAUUGGUGAACAUUUCUUUUGGUUAAUGGUGUUUCAUUCAUCAGCCGUACACACCAUCUGCAGUGUGUUCUAACGAAUUUGAGCUUCAAACCAUUACAGGAACCUGGGGUUUUCUAAGCCAAUUAUAAGUUUAUGACAUGAAGUAAGGAAGAUACAAAAUAAAAGAUUCUAGAUGAGUUAUCAGUAGCAUACCUUGAGAAAAGGCUU